UUCCGGUUGAUCCUGCCGGACCUGACUGCUAUCGGAUUGAUACUAAGCCAUGUGAGUCAUUGUAGCAAUACAAGGCAGACGGCUCAGUAACACGUAGCCAAUCUACCCUAUGGACGGGGAUAACCUCGGGAAACUGAGGAUAAACCCCGAUAGAUCAUAAUGCCUGGAACGGUUUAUGGUCCAAAUGAUUCGUCGCCAUAGGAUGGGACUGCGGCCUAUCAGCUUGUUGGUGAGGUAAUGGCCCACCAAGGCUAUUACAGGUACGGGCUCUGAGAGGAGAAGCCCGGAGAUGGGUACUGAGACACGGACCCAGGCCCUAUGGGGCGCAGCAGGCGAGAAAACUUUGCAAUGUGCGCAAGCACGACAAGGUUAAUCCGAGUGUUUCCUGCUAAAGGAAUCUUUUGCUAGUCCUAAAAACACUAGCGAAUAAGGGGUGGGCAAGUUCUGGUGUCAGCCGCCGCGGUAAAACCAGCACCUCAAGUGGUCAGGAGGAUUAUUGGGCCUAAAGCAUCCGUAGCCUGCUCUGUAAGUUUCCGGUUAAAUCCAUUAGCUUAACUGAUGGGCCGCCGGAAAAACUGCAAAGCUAGGGAGUGGGAGAGGUAGACGGUACUCAGUAGGAAGGGGUAAAAUCCUUUGAUCUAUUGAAGACCACCAGUGGCGAAGGCGGUCUACCAGAACACGUUCGACGGUGAGGGAUGAAAGCUGGGGGAGCAAACCGGAUUAGAUACCCGGGUAGUCCCAGCUGUAAACGAUGCAGACUCGGUGAUGCCCUGGCUUGUGGCCAGUGCAGUGCCGCAGGGAAGCCGUUAAGUUUGCCGCCUGGGAAGUACGUACGCAAGUAUGAAACUUAAAGGAAUUGGCGGGGGAGCACCACAGGGGGUGAAGCCUGCGGGUUCAAUUGGAUUCAACGCCGGA
rnacentral:rRNA from 1 species